GAGAGGAGACUAUAAAGAUGAAGCAAAUGAAAAAGAAGAAGAACCCUCUGGCGCCGGUACAGCACCACCGGACGUUAGAGGUGAGAGUUAAAUCUGAUGAAGAUUGGUUGGUCGCGAGGAAAAGAGAAGGGGAGGAGAUAAGGGAGAGAGAAAAAAUAUUAUAUAACAACCCUAUGAUAGAUGAUAAUAAUUAUACCAAGUUUGGUUAGGAAAACUGUGAAUAUAUACAUUCGACAGACAAAAUAAAUAGAUGAUAUGAUUUUUGUUAAUGAAAAUAAAUACAUUCUAGUAUUACUUUAUUUUUGUUAUUGAAAAUAAAUUAGAAGAUUGUAUUUA
rnacentral:lncRNA from 1 species